AUUGAACGCUGGCGGCAGGCUUAACACAUGCAAGUCGAGCGAGCGGCGGACGGGUGAGUAAUGUCUGGGAAACUGCCUGAUGGAGGGGUAUAACUACUGGAAACGGUAGCUAAUACCGCAUACCAUCAGUAGUGCCCAGAUGGGAUUAGCUAGUAGGUGGGGUAAUGGCUCACCUAGGCGACGAUCCCUAGCUGGUCUGAGAGGAUGACCAGCCACCAUGGAACUGAGACACGGUCCAGACGCCUACGGGCGGCAGCAGUGGGGAAUAUUGCACAAUGGGCGCAAGCCUGAUGCAGCCAUGCCGCGUGUUGGAAGAAGGCCUUCGGGUUGUAAAGCACGUUCAGCGAGGAGGCGGUACUCGCAGAAGAAGCACCGGCUAACUCCGUGCCAGCAGCCGCGGUAAUUC
rnacentral:rRNA from 1 species